rnacentral:tRNA from 1 species
GGUCUGGUGGCCGAGCGGUUAGGCAGAGGUCUGCAAAACCUCGUACACCGGUUCAACUCCGGUCCAGACCU